rnacentral:rRNA from 1 species
AGAACGAACGCUGGCGGCGUGCCUAACACAUGCAAGUCGAGCGCGAAUGGAGCAAUCCUAGUAGAGCGGCGCACGGGUGCGUAACACGUGGGUAAUCUGCCUCAAAGACUGGAAUAACCUGCCGAAAGGCUGGCUAAUACCAGAUAAGCCUACAGACUCUUCGGAGUCCGAAGGAAAAGGUGGCCUCUGUAUACAAGCUAUCACUUUGAGAUGAGCCCGCGGCCCAUCAGCUAGUUGGCGGGGUAACGGCCCACCAAGGCAACGACGGGUAGCUGGUCUGAGAGGACGAUCAGCCACACUGGAACUGAGACACGGUCCAGACUCCUACGGGAGGCAGCAGUGGGGAAUUUUGCACAAUGGGCGAAAGCCUGAUGCAGCAACGCCGCGUGUGUGAUGAAGGUCUUCGGAUUGUAAAGCACUUUCGACCGGGACGAAACCCGUUGGCUAACAUCCAGCGGUUUGACGGUACGGAGAAGAAGCACCGG